GACGAACGCUGGCGGCGUGCCUAAUACAUGCAAGUUGAGCGCUGAAGGUUGGUACUUGUACCAACUGGAUGAGCAGCGAACGGGUGAGUAACGCGUGGGGAAUCUGCCUUUGAGCGGGGGACAACAUUUGGAAACGAAUGCUAAUACCGCAUAAAAACUUUAAACACAAGUUUUAAGUUUGAAAGAUGCAAUUGCAUCACUCAAAGAUGAUCCCGCGUUGUAUUAGCUAGUUGGUGAGGUAAAGGCUCACCAAGGCGAUGAUACAUAGCCGACCUGAGAGGGUGAUCGGCCACAUUGGGACUGGGGCACGGCCCAAACUCCUACGGGAGGCAGCAGUAGGGAAUCUUCGGCAAUGGACGAAAGUCUGACCGAGCAACGCCGGGUGAGUGAAGAAGGGUUUCGGAUCGUAAAACUCUGUUGGUAGAGAAGAACGUUGGUGAGAGUGGAAAGCUCAUCAAGUGACGGUAACUACCCAGAAAGGGACGGCUAACUACGUG
rnacentral:rRNA from 1 species